AGCUCCAAUAGCGUAUAUUAAAGUUGUUGCGGUUAAAAAGCUCGUAGUUGGAUCUCGGCAGGCGGGGGGCGGUUCGUUUCUGACGGCACUACCCCUUUUACCUGUGUUUUUGACGGAGGUUCAAGGUUGCCUUAACGGCUGUCUUGGGCGCCGUCAGGUUUACUUUGAAAAAAUUAGAGUGUUCAAAGCAGGCUACAAGGCUUGAAUAUUUGUGCAUGGAAUAAUGGAAUAGGAAGUCGUUUCUAUUUUUUGGUUUUCGGAAAUUGACUUAAUGAUUAAUAGGGACAGCCGGGGGCAUUAGUACUCAGACGACAGAGGUGAAAUUCUUGGACCAUUUGAGGACUAACUACUGCGAAAGCAUUUGCCAAGAGUGUUUUCA
rnacentral:rRNA from 1 species